GAUGAACGCUAGCUACAGGCUUAACACAUGCAAGUCGAGGGGAAACGGCAUUGAGUGCUUGCACUCUUUGGACGUCGACCGGCGCACGGGUGAGUAACGCGUAUCCAACCUUCCCAUUACUGUGGGAUAACCUGCCGAAAGGCAGACUAAUACCGCAUAGUCUUCGAUGACGGCAUCAGAUUUGAAGUAAAGAUUUAUCGGUAAUGGAUGGGGAUGCGUCUGAUUAGCUUGUUGGCGGGGUAACGGCCCACCAAGGCUACGAUCAGUAGGGGUUCUGAGAGGAAGGUCCCCCACAUUGGAACUGAGACACGGUCCAAACUCCUACGGGAGGCAACAGUGAGGAAUAUUGGUCAAUGGACGGAAGUCUGAACCAGCCAAGUAGCGUGCAGGAUGACGGCCCUAUGGGUUGUAAACUGCUUUUGUAUGGGGAUAAAGUUAGGGACGUGUCCCUAUUUGCAGGUACCAUACGAAUAAGGACCGGCUAAUUCCGUG
rnacentral:rRNA from 1 species